AAAUAGUCCAUCAUGGCCGACCAAGAAGAUGUUCAAACAACCAAGAGAUAUGUUAGUCCAAAGACAGAAUGAGGAGCGAACUUUUACCACUUAUUUGUGUAGAAGAGUAUGGUACCAGGGGUGCAGCUGACUCUGAUUCCCGGCUUGUUCAAAUGAAAAAAGGCAGAUGAGGCACUGGAAUCCGAAUGUAAUAAAAAAUGCCAUUGUAUGAGGAUUGACCUGCAAUGCAUGGCAAUCAUCUUAACACAACUGCAACGCCUUCCUUGGAAAAAUGAGUGCAAGAUGGAAACAAAGCGUUUAGUGGAACAUCUUGUCAUCUCAAAUAUUUGAUGACUUACAUACUGAUGUCCCAAAUUCAAGGUUGUGAGUUCAAGACCUCCAAGAUACUUUCUCUUGACCUCAGGAAAAGGAUGUCCAUACUUGUUUCUUCUUAGGCAACAGACUUAAGAGUGAUUUUGUAAGCUUCCAGCUUGCAUAGCAAUCUGAUAAGGCAUAGAAUAAGUACUAGCUGACUUGCAAACAGUUUUUCCAUUUGUGUUGAUUUAUUUUUCAGUCUGUUGGAAUGUUUAUUAGAAGUGAUGCGCAUUGCUUACUGCAACCAAUAUUUGUUUUCUUUAUUAAGUUGAAUUUAACGAACACAUAACAUGACUUGUGCUUUUACAGAUGCAUGUUUAUUUCGUUGAUUGUAUGAGUUUAUUUUCUCAAAUGAUGUAAUAAAAGUUAUUCUGAA